CUUAGUGUAGUCUCUCUCUCGAUUUUUUCUUGUUGCGGGAGCUCCGCGUUGUGCAGGCUGUUUUUUCCUUCUUGCUUGUAGCUGGGAGCUCGAACUGCUGAGGGACGGGGGAUGACGUUGCAGUACGGCGGUUGACUUUAGCUUGUGAUGGUAUUGUUGGCUGCGGAAAUGUGUAGCCUUGUCUAGCGGAGGUGCGUUCUAUGUAGUUUGUGCUGCGGUGCGGCCUGUGUUGUUUUCGGCAAGCUGGCGGCCGUGUCAACACAGGUCUUUCCUGUUAAGCUGGUUGCUGAUCUCGGCGGCCCUGCGAUUACGGCGUUUUUUUGUUCUCAAGGCUCUCUGGCUCUACGGGUUCGAUGAGGCGCUGGUUGUGAAACCAGGAAGCUGUUGUUGUUAGCUGGCGGAGCAAUGCGGAGUGCUAGUCGCUGGAUUGGACUAGCGCAGUGUGUGGUGGUAUAGAAACUGCGGCUGAAGGGAGCGGGAUCAAGCUGCCAUUCUCCUGCAGCUCUUGUCGUCAUUUGUCGGGUUAUACCUCCCUGACAAUUGUCACCCUGCUUCUCUCUUGUGGAGUUUUGGGAAUCUAGAGUUACAGUUUUUAGUUGUUGUGGCAUUAUCCCUUGAUUCUGUUUUUCUCGUCGUCGGUUGCGAUGGAGCACCGAAGCGAUCUCCUUCAAUUUUUGGUUAUUCUUUUAGUUCAUGCAAAGGAGUCGUGACACUCCUACGCUAACCCUUUGUUUUACUUCCUUCUGUUAUUCUUAUUAGUUAUAGUUGAUUGACGGACGGUUUAGUCCUUUCCAUUCGUUAACUGGAACUAUAGCGCUGCUGGUAAUCUCACUAUCGUUGAAGUGGGGCUACGACGGUAGAAGUGCUGGAGCUGCGUUAUAAGUGGCAAAGAGCGGCGUCGUCUUCCGUUUUUGGUCCUGCGAUGGAGGUGGUUGUUGUCUGCGGGGGUUGCUGUUCUUAAUUCUCUGGUUUCGUCGGUGGCGGCACGGUCGAGGUUGGAGCAGAGCCUGGUGGUUCCUACAACGUGCGGCAAGAGUUAUACUGCUAUAGCUGUGUAUGUUCUAGUUUUUUUGUGGCGUGCAGCGGUUCAGGCAAGAUGGUCGACUGUUGCAACGGUGGAUUGCGGCCAGAGCUCGCACAUGCAAAGCAUCCCUGUUUUCCUUGGCCUCGAGUGUGUGUUGCUUGCGAAAGCCGCGGCCUCAUCAACUGCGGUGCGGGCGGUGGCGGGAUUACUUACGUAGAGAACUGUUAAGCAGUUGGUUUAUCGUCCCUCCUUAGGCGAAACUCAUCAAUUGUUGUGGAGUAGGUGGAAGCCAAGGGAUUCUGGUUUUUUUGUUGUUUUUUCCUUGCGACGAACCGUUGGAUCAUUGGUGACUGAGGAUAACUACAUCCACUUAUUCAUGGCUUGUCGACUAUAGCGGGUGCAAUUUUGAAGGGAGCGUGCUUUGACUGGUCAAGAAUUAGAGAGGGUUGGAGUUGUGGAGCUGCUACAAGUUGAAAAAAUUGAAGUUGCAGUUUAGGAGUGGUGGAUUUUCGAUCGAAUGGCAAACUGGAUCGGAGGCCCUUCAAGAAUUGUUGCUCUGUAGGCAAUCCGUAAGUAGCGAGAACCUGUGUAUUGCAGUUGCACAUGGACGAAUCUUGAAGUAAAUGAAGGUAAGGUAAGAAUGGAUGAAUAUAGUUGGAUGACCUUUUUAUAUCAAGGAUGAAUUUCAAUCACAGAUUAAAUUUUUUAGAUGAAA